UACGUAGGUGGCAAGCGUUGUCCGGAAUUAUUGGGCGUAAAGCGCGCGCAGGCGGUCCUUUAAGUCUGAUGUGAAAGCCCACGGCUCAACCGUGGAGGGUCAUUGGAAACUGGGGGACUUGAGUACAGAAGAGGAAAGCGGAAUUCCACGUGGAGCGGUGAAAUGCGUAGAGAUGUGGAGGAACACCAGUGGCGAAGGCGGCUUUCUGGUCUGUAACUGACGCUGAGGCGCGAAAGCGUGGGGAGCAAACAGG
rnacentral:rRNA from 1 species